rnacentral:rRNA from 1 species
GACGAACGCUGGCGGCGUGCUUAACACAUGCAAGUCGAACGGAAAGGCCCUGCUUUUGUGGGGUGCUCGAGUGGCGAACGGGUGAGUAACACGUGAGUAACCUGCCCUUGACUUUGGGAUAACUUCAGGAAACUGGGGCUAAUACCGGAUAGGAGCUCCUGCUGCAUGGUGGGGGUUGGAAAGUUUCGGCGGUUGGGGAUGGACUCGCGGCUUAUCAGCUUGUUGGUGGGGUAGUGGCUUACCAAGGCUUUGACGGGUAGCCGGCGUGAGAGGGUGACCGGCCACAUUGGGACUGAGAUACGGCCCAGACUCCUACGGGAGGCAGCAGUGGGGAAUAUUGCACAAUGGGCGGAAGCCUGAUGCAGCAACGCCGCGUGCGGGAUGACGGCCUUCGGGUUGUAAACCGCUUUCGCCUGUGACGAAGCGUGAGUGACGGUAAUGGGUAAAGAAGCACCGGCUAACUACGU